rnacentral:ncRNA from 2 species
AAUCAUUUGCAGGGGGACUCUUUUAGAGUUGAGAAGGUAGAACCUGACCCUUAGAACCUGACUUAGUUAACACUAGCGUAGGGAGCAUCGUAUAAUAUGUU